GGAAGCGGGAUCCUAGUGCUGCCACUAAGUACCCCUGUACAGUCCAGUUGACAAUGGGAAGUUUUCUUCUGAUUUCGCAUUUUGUUGUAAUCAUUGUAUCGUGGUGACGAAUGGCGAAUAUAACGUAUUUCCAAUGUAAUGCACAACGAACUAUAUAAGGCAUGAUGGUCCCUGGUCCAAGACAUGACGGGUUAUGCCAAAGCUUCCUCUAAAUACCACCAGGGCAAGGUUGGUGAAAGUUAACAGCUUCACGAGGGAACGUAACACCAC